AAAUAGAUACCCGGGUAGUCCACGCCCUAAACGAUGCGAACUGGAUGUUGGGUUCAACUUGGAACCCAGUAUCGAAGCUAACGCGUUAAGUUCGCCGCCUGGGGAGUACGGUCGCAAGACUGAAACUCAAAGGAAUUGACGGGGGCCCGCACAAGCGGUGGAGUAUGUGGUUUAAUUCGAUGCAACGCGAAGAACCUUACCUGGUCUUGACAUCCACGGAACUUUCCAGAGAUGGAUUGGUGCCUUCGGGAACCGUGGGACAGGUGCUGCAUGGCUGUCGUCGGCUCGUGUCGUGAGAUGUUGGGUUAAGUCCCGCAACGAGCGCAACCCUUGUCCUUAGUUGCCAGCACGUAAUGGUGGGAACUCUAAGGAGACCGCCGGUGACAAACCGGAGGAAGGUGGGGAUGACGUCAAGUCAUCAUGGCCCUUACGACCAGGGCUACACACGUACUACAAUGGUGGGGACAGAGGGCUGCAAUCCCGCGAGGGUGAGCCAAUCCCAGAAAACCCCAUCUCAGUCCGGAUCGGAGUCUGCAACUCGACUCCGUGAAGUCGGAA
rnacentral:rRNA from 1 species